rnacentral:antisense_RNA from 1 species
GUUGUCCUCAAGAAUGUUCCAUGUGCACUUGGGAAGAAUGUAUUUUCUGCUGCUGUUGGAUGGAAUGUUCUUUACAUGUCUGUUAGUUUCCUUUGGUCUAAAGUGUAGUUCAGGUUUGAUGUUUCCUUUUUGAUUUUCUGGCUUUAUUGAAAGUGGACUAUUGAAGUCUCCUACUGUUAUUAUUAUUAUUGAAAUGGAGUCCUGCUCUGUCACCCAGGCUGGAGUGCAGUGGCAAAAUAUCGGCUCACUGAAACCUCCGCCUCCCGGGUUCGAGUGAUUCUCCUCCCUCAGCCUCCUGAGUAGGUGAGAUUACAGUCCCACAGUUGCUCUGCGAAACCUCUGUAUAUGAAAAGUUGGCCCUCCAUGUACAUGGGUUUCCCAUCCUGUCAUAGAAUUUUCCACACUCCUUGACGGAGGUUCUUAACCCUUAUCCAUCAGCAUUCUCAGACAGCACCUCCGGUUAGGGACAGUAUCUGACCGUCCGACAUCCCUGCAGCCCCCAUGCUGUCACACAGACUCAGCCUCAGGUAGAUGGUUUCCGUAGAUGGUGGCUUUCUUUGGACCCUUGAUAUCAACCAGUUACUAUUUGCUCAGCAAGGCCCACAUUCUCCCGGUGAAGCCACAGAACCACAGGGAGAAAUCCAUGGACUUGGCCUCGCUCUCUAGGGGACCAGAUGUGCAGAGGUAAUGAAUACCAGGGAAUCAGGAAACCACUGGAUCAGUUCUUUGAGCCAUAGAACAACACUCAUCCCAGCAGCUGGGAAGCUAUCUGCAAAAGUCCAUCUGCAGAAAGGGCUUCCUGGUCUUGCGUGUGGCUGGGCCAUUUCUCUGGAUGCAGGUUUUUCAUUAUACAGUCUUCUCAAAGGACCACCUGCUCUCAACACCUUCUCGGUGACUCCAUUUCCCCUCCUCU